CCUACGGUGGGCAGCAGUGGGGAAUAUUGCACAAUGGGGGAAACCCUGAUGCAGCGACGCCGCGUGAGUGAAGAAGUAUUUCGGUAUGUAAAGCUCUAUCAGCAGGGAAGAAGAAAGACGGUACCUGACUAAGAAGCCCCGGCUAACUACGUGCCAGCAGCCGCGGCAAUACGUAGGGGGCAAGCGUUAUCCGGAUUUACUGGGGGGAAAGGGAGCGUAGACGGCUGUGCAAGUCUGAAGUGAAAGCCCAGGGCUUAACCCUGGGACUGCUUUGGAAACUGUGGAGCUAGAGUGCUGGAGAGGUAAGUGGAAUUCCGAGUGUAGCGGUGAAAUGCGUAGAUAUUAGGAGGAACACCAGAGGCGAAGGCGGCUUACUGGACAGUAACUGACGUUGAGGCUCGAAAGCGUGGGGAGCAAACAGGAUUAGAUACCCCAGUAGUC
rnacentral:rRNA from 1 species